UACGUAGGCAGCGAGCGUUGUUCGGAGUUACUGGGCGUAAAGGGUGUGUAGGCGGUUGUUUAAGUUUGGUGUGAAAUCUCCCGGCUCAACUGGGAGGGUGCGCCGAAUACUGAAUGACUAGAGUGCGGGAGAGGAAAGUGGAAUUCCUGGUGUAGCGGUGAAAUGCGUAGAUAUCUGGAGGAACACCGGUGGCGAAGGCGGCAUCCUGGACCGACACUGACGCUGAGGCGCGAAAGCUAGGGGAGCAAACGGG
rnacentral:rRNA from 1 species